GCCAUAGGGCCUAAGCCCUGCUCGUUGAGUUUCCGAUCAGCUCAAUCCCGGAUUAGUUCACUGACGGAGAUGCUGCUGAGCCUUUGCCAAGUCAGGUCUUGCAGCUACACCCCAUAACCGAACAGCACGCAGUAGCUGCGCAGACAGCGGAGAGAUGGAGGCAGUCAUUGAAAGUUAUCCCUGGCAAGACAGCAAGUGGGACCAGGACCUGGCUGAGAGUGGACACUCCUUCAGAAACAGAGAGUAGAAAGGCUUUACUUCAAAACUCUCUUUUGACCUUUGUAGAGUCUAUUGUGCAAGCUUGCUGGGACACUGCUGUGUUUACUGUAUAGAGUAUUUAUAACAGCAGAUCAAGAGACUCCUGAGGCGAAUUCCUCCCAGGGAAUGUUUCCGUUACUCUCAGUGGGACAAGCCAAGCAAUCGCACACUCUGCCUGAAUCACGAAGGGAGCACUAUGUUAACUCCAAGGCACAGAUUAAGCUAAAAAAACCCUGCGCUGCUGCUUUCAGGGGACGUAAACGGGUGCGAACCAGAGAGAUAAACUGGGCUCCCAUUAGCAGGUCCCUGGAUGCCCCGCGGCACGCUGUCCUCGGCCACCAAGUGCUUCCCAAUGGCCGGGAGUUGACCACAUCCACCAAGAUGACGCUGCGUGAGCAGCUGAGAGAGAAGAUCUCGGCAGCCUUCUACCGCCAUGGGCUGCUGUGUGCCUCUUACCCAGUACCCAUCAUCCUCUUCACCUCUGCCAGCAUCCUCACCUGCUGCUAUCCAUUAUUGAGGCUACCCCUGCCUGGGACAGGUCCUGUGGAAUUCACCACAGGGGUUCGAGACUACAGCGUCCCUUCCCAUGAGCCUCAGGGAGACCUCGGAGAACGGCCUGACUGGUACCGGGGCCCUCCGGUUGCCUACAUCCAGCAGGUGUUGGUGAAGGCAGCAGUGUCUCCAUGGGACAGCAGCCUGGUGCCGGUGGACGUGUUUCGGUCACCGCUCGGUCGAGUCUUUAGUCUGUUGGAGGAGAUUCGCAACCAUGUCCACUCUGACAGCUCCGGCGUUCGCAGUCUGGAGACUCUUUGCCUCCAGGUGACAGACCUGUUUCCAGGGUUACGGCGGAUGCAGUCGGUGCUGCCAGAGCAUGGCUGCCUGCUCGUCUCUCCUGGCAACUACUGGCAAAACCAGCGGGAGCUGUUCGACUCGGAUUCUGACCUCCUCAAGACCAUCCAGAAACAUGAACCGAAAGGCCUGCACACAUCAGCGACACUGCGAGACCUACUAUUUGGCGUCCCUGGGAAGUACACAGGGGUCAGUCAUUACAACAGGAAGAGGGUGGUGACAUACACAAUCACUGUGGUGCUGUCCAGCUAUGAUGCAAGGUUCAUGGGCAGCUUGCGGACCCGUCUGAAGCAGCUUCACCCGUCAGCCAACUGCAGCCUGAGAGAAGACCACAUGGUUCACGUCCACUUCAAGGAAGAGAUCGGCAUCGCUGAACUCAUCCCCCUCGUCACCACAUACAUCAUUCUUUUUGCCUACAUCUACUUCUCCACACGUAAGAUUGACAUGGUGAAGUCUAAGUGGGGCCUGGCUUUGGCUGCUGUGGUAACAGUCCUCAGCUCUCUGCUCAUGUCUGUGGGACUGUGUACACUGUUUGGACUGACACCCACACUCAAUGGAGGUGAAAUCUUCCCUUACCUUGUGGUGGUGAUCGGCUUGGAGAAUGUCUUGGUCCUCACCAAAUCUGUGGUUUCCACCCCUGUUGACCUCGAGGUCAAACUACGCAUUGCUCAGGGCCUAAGUAAUGAGAGCUGGUCUAUCAUGAAGAACAUGGCCACUGAAUUGUGCAUCAUCCUGAUUGGAUAUUUCACUCUGGUGCCAGCUAUCCAGGAGUUCUGUCUUUUUGCUGUUGUGGGGCUGGUGUCUGACUUCUUCCUGCAGAUGUUCUUCUUCACCACAGUGCUAUCUAUAGAUAUCCGCCGCAUGGAGCUGGCUGACCUGAACCGCCGCCUGCCAGCUGAAGCGGGUCUCCCUCCACCUAAGCCAGGGCCUCUUCGUACCCGUGAGGUCCCCCCUCCACCACGACCCUCCCCGCACACAAUCACCCUGCAGACCCCGGCUUUCAGAAACCUGAGGCUCCCCAAGAGGCUGCGUGUGGUUUACUUCCUGGCGCGCACACGCUUGGCUCAGCGUAUCAUCAUGGUUGGCACAGUGAUUUGGAUCGGUAUCCUCGUCUAUACGGACCCAGCAGGAAUCCGCACUUACCUGGCUGCACAGGUCUCUGAGCAAAGCCCUCUGGGUGACCCUGGCGGAGGCGGUCUGCCCCCUCACCUAGGGGUUGCCCCAGUUUUUCGUGGUGGAGAUCCCACUAGCACCUUGAGCAUCCACCCUGCGCCAGAUCCAACUCCCAUACCAGAGAACCAAUCACAGGGUCACCAUGGUUCAGCCAGGGCUGGUCCACUCCACCAGGCCCCGCCUUCUGUUCCUCAGAUCACCUGGGGUGCAGAGGAUGAGGAAGGAUGGAGGAGAUUGUCCUUCAGGCAUUGGCCAUCGCUCUUCAGCUACUACAACAUCACUUUAGCAAAGAGGUACAUUAGCAUCCUCCCCAUCAUUCCUGUCACUGUACAUCUGAGCCCCCAGGAGGCCAUUGACACACGCCACCCUCAGGACACGAGACACCCUCCACCACCCGUCCCCAAGGUUUCUGCAGAUUUACAGACGGACCUCACCCUCUACAAGGUGGCAGCUCUGGGCCUGGCUGCUGGUGUCCUGCUGGUUCUGCUGCUCUUCUGUCUCUAUCGUGUUCUGUGCCCACGUAACUACGGCCAGAACGGUGUUGCUCACGGACGCCGGCGUCGAGGUGACCUGCCCUGCGACGACUACGGCUACUCGCCACCCGUCAGCGAGAUCUCACCACUGCUGCUGAGGGGCCACAGUAUGGACAUCGAGUGUUUGGCUAGUGACGGGAUGCUGCUGGCAAGCUGUUGCCUGGCUGGACAGAUCCGGGUUUGGGAUGCGCAGACCGGGGAUUGCUUGACCGUCAUUCCAAACCACGGGCUGAGACGGAGCAGCAGCAGUGGUUGCUGGGAGCAGCGGGACGGCUGGGACAGCAUGAGCGCAGUCGCAGAUUCGGAGUGUUUAGGUUCUGAAGGUCGAGACCCGUCCAUGAGUGGUGACGGCCUGUCAGAGGACGAAGGCUACCCGCUUAGACGCCGUACAACGCUCACCAGGCUGACUCUGUUCACCGACCAGCCCGACCUCACCCCGCUCAUUGACACCAACUUCACCUCCCAGCCCCCCUCCCACCUCUCCACUCCACCCAGAGGAGGUUUCGACUUUGGAGGUUUAGUGGAACGUGCCUACAUGGAGCAUGAGCCACCAUCGCCCUCUGCCUACCCCUCUCCUUCCUCAGCCUCCUCCUCACCACCUUCAGCCGCUCACCUCCAUAGGAGACCGAGCUUAGGGGAUGCAGUCGCCCCAUUAGUACAAGAGAGGGCCUUCACAGCAGGGGCACAAGCGACUGCAGACUGGGAAAGCUCUGUUUGGGCCAUGGAGCUGAGAGGAAAUCUGAUAGCUGCUGGGAGGAGCAGCGGCAAACUGGAGCUGUGGGAUGCAGUAGAAGGGUCACUACGCUGCAGUAAUGAAGACGGCGUCUCUGGGAUCACAGCUCUGGCCUUCCUCAACAACAGAAUCGUGGCGGCUCGUCUGAACGGGUCUUUAGAUUUCUUUACUGUUGACAUAAAUAAACCUCUUGGUCUGCUGCAGUACAGAGCCACAGCCAAGGCUGAAGGUCCCCCUGGACGAAGCAGCAUGCCUCCAUCUCCCUGUUACAGCAGUGAGGAUGUGAUCAGCUGCCAGCUCACACGCUCAGUACAGUGUGCUCACCAGAAACCGAUCACGGUGCUGCGAGCAGCCGCCGGCAGGGUCGUCACCGGCAGCCAGGACCACACAGUCCGGGUUUAUCGUCUGGAGGACUCGUGCUGCCUCUUCACCCUGCAGGGUCACUCUGGAGGGAUCACAGCCAUCUACAUAGACCAGACGAUGGUUCUGGCAAGCGGGGGGCAGGACGGUGCCAUCUGCCUAUGGGACGUCCUGACAGGAAGCCGUGUCAGCCAUGUUUAUGGUCACCGUGGUGACGUCACCUCGCUGGUCUGCACCACCUCCUGUGUCAUCAGCUCAGGACUGGAUGACCUCAUCUGUAUCUGGGACCGCAGCACCGGGAUCAAGCUCUACUCUAUACAGCAGGCGUUUCAGAGAAUUUAGCAGUACAUCCAACUGGCCUCACAACUGCAGACCAUGUGUAACCACACCAGCCCAGGACCUCCACAUUCAGCCUCUUCACCUCCAAGAUCGUCCACCUGGACCAGCCACCUGGACAGCGCCUGGCACUUUGGAGAGGUGUUCUCUUCACGGAUGAAUCCCGGUCUUCCCGCAGACAGCGUGCAUGGUGUCGUGUGGGUGAGUGGUUUGCCGAUGUCAAAGUUGUGAAUCGCCCAUGGUGGUGGUGGGGUUGUGGUUUGGGCAGGUGUAUGUUAUGGAUGACAAACCCAGGUGCAUUUUUAUUGAUGGCAUUUUGAAUGCACAGAGAUACUGUGACGAGAUCCUGAGGCCCAUUGUUGUGCCAUUCAUCCAUGACCAUCACCUCAUGUUGCAGCUUGAUAAUGCACGGCCCCGUGUUGCAGGGAUCUGUACACAAUUCCUGGAAGCUGGAAACAUCCCAGUUCUUGCAUGGCCAGCAUACUCACCAGACAUGUCACCCACUGAACAUGUUUGGGAUGCCGUGGAUCGGCAUAUACGACGGCAUGUUCCAGUUCCUGCCAACGUCCAGCAACUUUGCACAGCAAUUUAAGAGGAGUGGACCAACAUUGCCACAAUCGGCAACCUGAUCAAGUCCAUACGAAGGUGAUGUGUUGUGCUGUGUGGGACAAAUGUGGUCACACCAGAUACUGACUGGUUUUCUAACCCUAUCCAGAGCAAACUGCAGUGAUCACAAACUUAAAACAAGCUUCAGACCUCUGGAGCUCAGUAGCACAGACUGUAGCAGGAUUAGCUUCCACGUAUUUCUGAGUGUUCCUACCAUGAGAUGGGCACUGCAGCCUCCUGGCCUGCUCCCAUGGGCACUCGGCUCUGGAGGUAAUGCAGCUGGCCGAAGUACUUCCUCAGUGUGCUGCAUCCCUCGAAAUCCCUCGUCACAUUCACUGCACUCUGCAAAAUGGACACAAACGAUGUGUUUCUGUUGUGUUCAAUCAGCUGUUCUCUACCCUUGCAGCUACAAAAUCACAACUUCUGCAAACACACUGUGAGCUCAUUUUUAAGAGCGUCAUUUGGACUUGUUUUUUCACUAGAUGUAGAACCUGACAAACAUGAGCAAUGAGUAUAAAACAGCAGAUAUUCAUCUGUUUGUCUAAAUGUUUGGCUUCAACCAUCUGUCAGUCCCCCAGCAAAUGGACAAGAAAAAAUGCAUACAUAUUCUUACAUAUUGUUGAGCUGAAUCUCAGGAAAUGGAACUAAAUACUACACUUCCCAGAAUGCACUGGCAGCAGCAGAGAGGUGCUUGACACCUGAGCAGUGAUCACUGAUUUGGAGCACCUGGGAAGGAGUGAGCUCAGUCAGUCAGCCAAACAAUCUUCAGAAGAGAAAGACACAAGGAAAGAACAAAGAAGAUCCAAGUCCACUUAUGGAUUCAGUUCAAAGACGCCAAUGAUGUUCAGAGGGAGAUGAUGCCACAUCUGGUCCAGCUGAUGGAAGGUCUUGAAGUUCUCUGACUGGCCUCGACUGAAGAUGGUCGUCUCACUGGAUUUAAGGUUCAGAUGUUCAGUAACAAACUCCACCAAUGUACCAACAGGGAAGCUUUAGGUUUAUUAAAUGUUGCUAUGAAGGUAUCGCUGUUUUUCUUUGUGAAUGCAAUGUGCUCCAACUGAAACUUGAAUUAGAACUUAGAAGUAAAUCCUUCCAUCUGAAAGGAUUUAGUUGCAUUAAUAACCUCAUGACAUUCUAAUUUUCAUUCCAGUCUUGGCUGGAAAUAGAAUCUCUGUAUUGAUUCAGGUAAAAACUGAACUUCACAGCAUGUUGAAGCAAAACAACCAGAUGAAAACUGUGAUGGUGUUGGAUUGUCAGACCGUAAUGUUGCAGCUCAAAGCAGCUUUUCUAGCUCAGUUCAUUCUGACAUUCAGCUAUGAAUCAACACAGCAGAUGGUGAUCCAUGCUGUGGAAGUCUCACAUCUUCUGAUUUAAUGGAGCUGCUUUGCACUUUUUACACUAUUUAUUCACCAACACUUUAUUUAAUAAAAGUCCCAUCUAGUUUUUACGAGGAAUGUGAUGUUUUAAUUUCUCUGUCAAUAACUGCUGUCUAAUGUAACAGCUGGAAUUGUAACAUCUGUCCUGAUGUUGAUCAUGAAGUAUUGCUCAGAAUACUUAUGGUCAGCAGUCAUCCCUGAAGUUUUACAUUCAAAUCUUUACUUGUAUUGUGAACUUUGGUAAGAAGCAAAAAUUUUACCAUUGCCAUGGGUACAUGAGUGUUAAAUUCUGUCCAUGUGUCAUUUUGGGAUGCAGUCCAGCAGAUGAGUUUGUUUUUACUGCCAGCUACCAUUCAGUCUGAGAUAUUAAGAGUAAAUAAAUGUGCAUAACGUGGAAAUGAACAGAUUUUAUUUUUAUUUAUACCUCCAGCUGCUGCAGGUAAAAUUCGAGAAUGUGGAGGAAUUUAGUCUCACAAUCAGACAAUAAAUAUUAUCUGAAAGUCGGGUUAUUGUUGUUUAUCAGCACAAUACAAAAAGAUUCAUGAUUUAUGUAAGUUUAACUCAAUAAUAUCAAUGUUCAGGUUAAGAUUGUGCAGUGAUAUUAUGUAAGUUUAGCUGAUUAAAUUUUGACUCUGCACUACAAUAUUUAAAUUGACAUUAUUAUAAUAUUUAGGGUCAGACCUUACAGUAUUGAGAUUAAGAAAUCAAAUAUUCUAUAAAAUGUAAAUACACUGAGCUAAUUUGGAUAUAUUUAAGUGAGACUCUACAAUAUUAUUUGACACAAAUCUAUCUAAAUCAAAAUUUUUAUCAUUUUUACUCCAAACAUUUAUUGGACUGAUUUAAAUAUUAAAAUCACUCCUUUCUAAUCCUCUGCUAUAUGUUCAAACCUGAGGCCUUAAAUAGAAACACACAAGUAUCUGUUUGAAGGAACUUCUGCAGAGUCCUGGUUCCAGAACAUGAUGAUAAAAUUAUGGACAAACUUUAACAAAAGCUGCCUGAGAGUUUACAGGUUUUUAUGUUAGAUUUCUUCAGUAAUUUAAUGAGUUAUCAGCAAAAAUCAAGUGUUCAUUUGAUGAACUUCAUUUCCUAAAACAUCCAGAAUUGGAGCUCAUAUCUUUGGCAGCUGUAAAGUUUCUGCUCCUUCAAAGUUCACAACACAAUGAAUGAAUUCCUAAAACACUCUCAAUGCUGGAGAGCGUUUGUGAUGCUGAAGCAGUGACCAGUUUUUCUGUUUCUUCUCUGGAGAUGCACAAUGAGGGACAUCUGCAGAGACUGAGAAAGAGUCUCACCACAUCCUGACAUGAGGAAAAAGACUUUAUUGAAGACUACAAUGAGAAAAACUAUCAGACAGCAGACGGCUGCAUUCAAGUCUGUAGCUGCUGAAUUCAUGGAUGAAUCAUCUGGCACUAGAGAGGAAGACCAUCAAACAUCCACGUCAGCUGAUGGAGGUCCAAGAGUGUCACCAAACAAACAACCUACAGAGUGAAGACCUCGAAUCUGAUUGGAUGGCCUCCUAUUCAGCCACGUGUGAACAAAUGCCUCUAAGCUGAUUUGUUUUCUAAAAUAAAUCUAGUUUGAGUCCUAAUCUAUGCCUGUGUGUUUGCUUCUUUACACCGCUGUUAACAGUUUAGGCUGUUAGAUUGUUCCAGAUAAGACAAGUACAAGAUUCUUCAGAGCCGUUCUACCACGAGCCUGACAGGAAGAACUCCAACAGCUACUGAAUGUUCCUGUGGUCCCCUCAAGGCUACAGAAGGAGCCCUACGAGGAAGAGCCGGUCCACCUGAUGGCGGCCAGUCGCUGCGGUUCAAAGCCAAUACCGACUACGUGGACUUCUACUGGACCACACAGAGGCCUUCAAACCGGACCAACAAGUUCACCGACUCCCCAAUUCGUGGGUCUGAGGACGCCGCCAAGCCUCGGCCCAGCCGGCUGCCUGUCUGUGGGUGUUUGAGUGCUGAGAGGUUUAUGGAUGCAUGUGAACGUGUCUGUGUUGAAACAGCAGCUUUUGACUCAGUAACGCCAGUAAAAACCAAGAGCUUCUUUAUUUGUGACUUCCACUAAAAAAAACUGUUGAAAAUAAGUUUGCCAGGGUUCUGACUGAUAACAGAUUAUUAAAUAAUGAAAAUAAUAAUUUAAAUGUUCCUUUAAACAAUACUUUUAGGUCUACAUUUCCUUUACACUGACUUCUUGGUAUAUGUACAAGUAUUUUGGGUUGAAGCUUCCAGCAGUAAAAUAGGCUUUGAUGUGUUUCUUGGUAUGUUUUAGGGCUUUGUACCAGAUAGUUGUCUUGGUAAAUGUGGUUCUUUAGCCACAGUUUGCACAUGGCGCUAAUGUGUGCAGUGAUUAGUGGGUUUGGUGCAGCUGAGUUGUGUCUUUAUCUUGGCUGCAGUCACUGUUCCCUCUCAAGCCGCAAUUCCACAAGCACCUACUCGGCGCGGUGCGGCUCGGCUCGUCUUUGUUUGCGAGCGUUUCCAUAUGGAUUAGUGCAAGGUAUCACGCACGAUUUUUCGUACCUUCUCGGCUGAGGUUCCAACCGAGAUGAAGUGAGCCUAGAUGUGACGUCUACCUAGUGCAGGCCACUGAUUGGACAGGAGUGCAGCCCACUGAUUGGACAGGGAGUGACGACACAAGAGAGCGACUCCAGCACGAAAACAAUACCGGCAUUUAAAAAAACUAAACAGCGACGGUGUGCAUUGCUCUUCACAGACCUCUCUGUCUUCAUAAUUUUAAUAUGACAGCCAGACCUGUACCGUGGGUGAAUGAAGAGGUCGAGACUUUUCUGUCUAUGGUGGUGGACCAAAGAAUACAGAGGGAGCUGGACAUAGAAAGUUUAUCAGGAGGUCUCUGAGCGGAUGGCCGCCCACAUAUACAGUAGACUGUAUAUAAAGAGGACAGAAGCAGUGUAGGGAGAAGCUGAAAAAGCUCAAAAAUGACUAUUGGUCCACCAAGGACCACAGCGGCCGACGUGGGUCAACCAGGAGGUGUUGGAAGAGGUUUAAUGGACGCUAUUUAAUGGCAGCGCACCGCCAGCAACAGGAGGGAGACUUAGCUGCUGCAUUAUUGGAGACGUUCAAGAAUGGUGAGUGUUUUGUGACUUCAAGAAACUUUUACAUCAUUUAUCUCAUUGGUGGCAAGCUCCCUUUAAGCAAACAAGUAUAUUUAGAAAGUAACGUUGUUGUCUCCUGUAGCAGACAAUAAGCUAGCUAGUUAGCCGUCAGCGCUAGCUAGGUAGCCAUCGGCGCUAGCUAGUUAGCCAUCAGCGCUAGCUAGUUAGCCGUCGGCGUUAGCUAGUUAGCCAUCAGCGCUAGCUCCGUGCUCCGCUUGUAUUUCGUGCUGCUGUUUCUAACGUUUAACUCAGUCAGCAUGACGAACUAAGCUAGCGGUCUUAAAGGUUUAUUUUUUUCACAAGUUACAAUGUCGUAUUUUUCGUGUACUUAGGGUGAAUGUUUAUUUCUGUUCAAGAAUCCCUUUCGACGUGCGAAGCCUACUCCACCUCCGUCAUGGAGCCCCCAGCUCCCCUGCCUUCUCUCCAGCACCAGCUUCAGCACCAGUACCAACUCGGACACCGACCCUGUCAACAUCAACCUCCAGCACGUAACAGCAACAUCUUAUCACUGGCAAGAGGAAAAGGGGCAACAGAAAACUGGACCUUCCAAGUGUACUUGUGGAGAUGCAGGCUGAGGAGGAGCGGAGUCAUGCCCAGCAUGAUGAGAACAUCUGGUUGCUCCUCAGCGAGGCAAGAGAGAAUGAAGCGGAAUUGCAGCGGGAGGAGAUGGCCCAGAGUACUGCCUUCAACCAGUCAUUCCUGGGUGUGCUGGGGCAGCUGGGGCAGGCAGUGGGCAGCCAGCGAGUCCACCUCCCAGAGACUUGAGAUUUAGUUGUAUAUAGUUUUACUUUUAGCCCUCCACUGUAGGAGAGGCCCACCACAGUUUGUACUUUGCACAUUGUAAAUAGUUUAGAUUUUGCUGCUGACUAAUAAACUAUUUUGUGACUUAUGUGAUUGCAUCAUAACUUUUCAUUUUGUCUGUUAAGACACUGGUAGGAAAAGAGUCAACAGUCUGAAUCAAACAAUUCUGUAUUCCCUAAUAAUGCAUUUAUGUUUAAUGGGAUUUAACAUGUUUUAACACAAACUCCUUUAUGGUUCAUAAUUCCGUUGACUGAAUUACACCAAAGCAAUACUGAUUUAUCAAACUGGAACAUUCUUAAAACAGCUGUUUUAAUGUUUUGGUGUUUAAUUUGUCAUGUAAUCUUGCUAACCUUCACAAAUAAAACAAUAGCAUAGACACAUCUGCAAAAGGUACAAAAGUUUAUUGUCAGAAUUGCAUUAAAGAAAACAAUAGCGGUCCGGGGACAGAAAAACAGAAGUAUAACGAGAAGAAUAACUUAACUUUUGCCUGACACGUACUGCAUCGGUGCAUCCUGUACAUCUCUGUCCUCCUCCUCUACACCUUGUGCCACUGCAGGCUCAUGUGCUGCUGCUUCGGGUAAAUCCCAUGAAGUCUCAUCAGAGAGCCAUCUGAAACACAUACACAGCAUACAUAUUUUAAUACCCAAUAGCGAUAAACUGCAGCUAUUACAGGGUCGUUCACAGGACUGAUACACGGUAGCUAGCGAACUAGUAUUAGCUUGCCCUCAUAUGUCGUCUAGUUCAUAUCCUCUUGUCUUCGGCUUGAUACUGCUGCAUCGCCUCCCAAACUCUCCUGUGUGUCUCCAGAGUGUUUCGACUCGCCGCUCUCAGCUUUCUCCGACUCUUCUACUACUUUGAAUUUGACAGAAAGCCGCAGACCGAGCAUCAGGUGUACCAUCGCCUCCGUUAUGUUGCGUUUGUGUCGCACACAAAUGACGUUAAGGGACUUUCGGCCUGCCGGGCUAUGACGACUCCACCCACGAUGAGGCUAUAUGGAAAAACAACUAAUGGGACACGCCCCUUUGAGCUGCGUGCUACAGCGAGGCUAAGCUAGUGGGGGAAAAGUUUCAGUGCAUUCCGUUGAUGUAGACGGCGUGAAAACGGAAACAAGUAUGCUGGCUCACUGUGCUGCAUACAAUUGCACACUGCGUCGUACGACUGAGACAAGGAAACUUGGAAGGACUUUUCAUAGGUUUCCCAGAGACUAUGGGUUGAGGAGGAAGUGGAAGUUUGUCGGCUUAGACCUGGUGUCAUUCCAUCAGUGUUAAACUUCCCGGCUCAUCUUGGAAGAGUACGUGCCAGAAAGACCACGACCAAGCAGCCUUGAGAUCUUAGGCAGCGUCUCCCUGAGGUCCCUCUCUAUCUCCCCACACAUCCACCAACCACUGGAACACAUCUCCAAAGUUCUGCCGGGCCAGCUCAGCUUCCCCUCAGAAGAAGUGCAGCCACCUGCCAGAUGAAGGAGCCUUUUGAGAGGCAGCUGGCAUCGUGAUUGGACUGUACUUUGGUCUGUUCCAAUCCAGCUUCAGUUCCAGAGACGGCAGGCGGGACGAGUCAACGGAGGCCGGGUGGACGAAGGCAUGCAGCUGAGUACAAUCUAGAAAACAACAGAGGAGGAGAGCAGGGCCAGAACAAACAGAGUAGCAUCGUAUGUCUCUUAGAAAACAUCAUAGUAUAGCCUUUGGGAUGAAAAAACGCCAUCAUAUACAUCGUAUAUUGUACAAAUAACAAGUCAAAGGAAAGAGACAUACAUUGUAGAAUUGUAGUAAUUGUGGGCUGACUGAUUUACUGAUUAUCAGUAUUUUAUUUUUUACUGAUUUACGGUAAUAAAUACAUUUAAAAAUGGU